rnacentral:lncRNA from 10 species
GGUCUGGCCUGGGCCACUGCACCUGACCUGAUCUAUUUUUAAUCACCCAGACAUGUAUAGGAUCCAUUGAAGGACUUUGAAGAGUUUCAAAUGGAAAGGGCCAGGACAAUUUAGCCACUACCAGGUGAAGACGCCAGGAGAACUUAUGCAAUGAAUUGUGCAUGAAUGAAAAUCAGCUUUUAUUCUUUUUUAAAUUUCAACUUUUAUUAUAUAUUAAAGGGUACAUGUCAUGCAGGUUUGUUACAUGGGUAAAUUGUGUGACACUGAGGCUUGGGAUCCCAACAAUCCCAUCACCCAUGACAUAAGCAUAGUGCGCAUCUGGUGGUUACUCAGCCCGUGCCCCACUCCCUGCCUCCCCUGUCUAGUGAUCCCCAGUGUCUAUCGUUCCCCUCUUUACACUCAUGUGUACUUAAUGUUUGUCUCCCACUCAUAAGUGAGAGCCAACAUGCAGUAUUUGGUAUUCUGUUCCUGUGUAAGGUCACUUAAGAUAAUGGCCUCCAGUUCCACCCACAUUGCUGCUAAAGGCAUGAUUUCAUUUUUUGAUGCCUGCAUAGUAUUCCAUGGUGUAUAUGUAUGAUAUUUUCUUUAUCCAAUCCACUGUUGACAGGCA